UACAGAGGGUGCAAGCGUUGUUCGGAAUUAUUGGGCGUAAAGAGCUCGUAGGCGGCUUGUCACGUCGGGUGUGGAAAGCCCCGGGGCUUAACCCCGGGUCUGCAUUCGAUACGGGCUAGCUAGAGUGUGGUAGGGGGAGAUCGGAAUUCCUGGUGUAGCGGUGAAAUGCGCAGAUAUCAGGAGGAACACCGGUGGCGAAGGCGGAUCUCUGGGCCAUUACUGACGCUGAGGAGCGAAAGCGUGGGGAGCGAACAGG
rnacentral:rRNA from 1 species